rnacentral:rRNA from 1 species
GCACAAGCAGCGGUAGCGUGUGGUUUAAUUCGUUGCUACACGAGAACCUUACCUGGGUUUGACAUAUAAGUUGUAGGGAACUGAAAAGGGACCGACCCUUCGGGGAGCUUAUACAGGUGUUGCAUGGCUGUCGUCAGCUCGUGUCGUGAGAUGUUCGGUUAAGUCCGCUAACGAGCGCAACCCUCGCCGUAUGUUACAAGUGUCAUACGGGACUGCCGGUAAAAAGCCGGAGGAAGGUGAGGAUGAUGUCAAGUCAGCAUGACCUUUAUAUCCAGGGCUACACACACGCUACAAUGGUCUGUACAAUUGGUUGCCAAGCCGCGAGGCGGAGCCAAUCCGUAAAGCAGGCCUCAGUUCAGAUUGCAGUCUGCAACUCGACUGCAUGAAGCCGGAGUUGCUAGUAACCGCAGGUCAGCAAUACUGCGGUGAAUACGUUCCCGGGUCUU